rnacentral:rRNA from 1 species
ACGAACGCUGGCGGCGUGCUUAACCCAUGCCAGUCGCACGGAAAGGCCCUGCUUUUGUGGGGUGCUCGAGUGGCGAACGGGUGAGUAACACGUGAGUAACCUGCCCUUUACUUUGGGAUAACUUCAUGAAACUGGGGCUAAUACCGGUUAGGAGCUCCUGCUGCAUGGUGGGGGUUGGAAAGUUUCGGCGGUUGGGGUUGGACUCGCGGCUUAUCUGCUUGUUGGUGGGGUAGUUGCUUACCAAGGCUUUGACUGGUAGCCGGCCUGAGAGGGUGACCGGCGAAAUUGGGACUGAGAUACGGCCCAGACUCCAACGGGAGGCAGCAGUGGGGAAUAUUGCACAAUGGGCGGAAGCCUGAUGAAGCAACGCCGCGUGCGGGAUGACGGCCUUCGGGUUGUAAACCGCUUUCGCCUGUGACGAAGCGUGAGUGACGGUAAUGGGUAAAGAAGCACCGGCUAACUACGUG